rnacentral:rRNA from 1 species
AUACGUAGGGAGCGAGCGUUAUUCGGAAUCACUGGGUGUAAAGGACGCGUAGGCGGGUUUGUAAGUCAGGUGUGAAAUCCUACAGCUCAACUGUAGAACUGCACUUGAAACUACAGACCUAGAGUAUGGAAGGGGCAGAUGGAAUUAGUGGUGUAGGGGUAAAAUCCGUAGAUAUCACUAGGAAUACCGAAAGCGAAGGCGAUCUGCUGGGACAUUACUGACGCUGAGGCGUGAAAGCGUGGGGAGCAAACAGGAUUAGAAACCCUAGUAGUCC